GCUUAUCGUAUGGCUUUCCCUUGUGCUGCGGAUUGUGACCCUGCAAGUGGUUAGGAUGAAUACUUCCUUUCUGUCUGUGUAGUUCAGGAGUUCGUUAUUCACAGAAAGCAGCUCUUUGCUCCUUUUAGGUUUAUUUUUGUACCAGGGCCUUUGGCAAACCUAUGCAAGUCUUCCUGUAGCUGUCACGGUAGUAUACCCCAACACGCAAGAAUAGUCCAACAAGAUACAAGAUACGUCUUACCGGGCCUUAGAAUGGCCGGACUCGAC